GGGCGGGCGAGGGCAAAGCCUGGCGCAGGCGACGCGUGGCCAUGGCCUGGCGCAGGGUGCGGCGCAGCGUGCGAGGGCGAGGCCUCGACGCGGGCGGGCGUAGCCUGGCUACUCCGGGCAUGAGCGCCGCGCGGGGGAAGGGGACCCGCAACGACGGCCGGAGGGAGCCGACGCCGGCCGGUGGCCGCUAUCAUGACCUUUGCAGGAGAGGCCAUGGCCGGGGAGCGGUCGCUUUGUCUCUCAACCAAAUCGCUCUCGGGAGCGUGCUGAUAAUGUGUUCAGGUCCAAAGCAAAAUGAAUGGAACUGUCUUCUCUUUUAUUGAUGAUUCUACAUAUAUAUAGGUACAGGGAGGACGCCUCGUUGGAGAGGCGUCUCUAUGUGAACUGGCCCGACGGUCACCGAAAUAGCAUCCGUCGGCGGUUGGUUAAUAAAGGUAGGGAUUGUCCCUUAAUUAAGUAUUCCCACCGUCCGGAAAUACUUGUCGGAGAAAUGCAUAAAAAUGAAUGUAUGUAGAACUAAAAUAUAUUUAAAUACAUCCAUUCUUCCGACGAGUAUUUUCGGACGGAGGGAGUAUGUUAAUUAAUCUUAAUAAUCGUCAACCAAUGUAUACCCCUUAGCUAGAUUUUCUUUGUCCUAACACAAAAUGGAGCUUCUGCCUUCUUCUGGCUGGACACCUGGGUCCACCAUCAGGCACUCGCUAACGCCUUCUCUAGUAUGUUCACCCACUUCACUGAUCUAAAUAUUAUACUUCCUUUGUCUUAAAAUAAGUGUCUCAACUUUGUACUAACUUUAAAAAAAUUCCUUAUAUAACACUGUUUUAAAUAUUGAUUCCUUAUUUAACACUCCAAAAAAAAUUCUUCCCUAAAUAACACCAAGUGUAAUUUUUUUCCCUUUCUAACACUUCGUCAAGUCCGUUAGCAUAUGUCGUUAAGAUCUGGAUUGACUGAUGUCAGUAUUUUCUCGUUGGACAAAAUUACCCCUUUGAGGAAAAAGAAAAACAGAGACCAAACCGAUCUCUCUAUUCUCUCCCGACCCGACUCUUCUCAUCCCCUUUCUUCCCAACCCUAGAGGCAGCGGCGAACCUCCCAGGCUUAGCGGCGGCGGAGGGCUAUGGAUGGCGGCAGUUCUGCGGAUGGAGACGGCGUCGCGGACGACGGCCAUGGCGCGGCUGCGGACGUGUCAUGGCUUGCCGAUGGCACCGGCGGGGCUGAGGUCAGGUCAAUCCAGGGCGUCGGGCUAGCCUCGGGCUGCGGUGGGGUUGAGCCAGCAUCGGGCCAGGCCGGAGACUUGGCUACAGCUGGCUCGGGCCUGGCCGGUGGCUCGGCUGCAGCUGGCUCGGGCCAGGGCGUGGAAGUGGCUGGGGUCUCCGGCGAGGGCAUGGCUGGGUCGUUCUUGGCAGCAGCUUCAGGCCAGGACGGUACUCAGUUGCCGCCAGCAACAUGGGCGUGUCCAGAUGGGAUGGAUCCAAAUUCGAGUUAUUUGCUCAAAAUUAAAUUGUUUGGCAACCCAAAGAAAGCUCGAAAGGACAUAAAAUGUUUUUGUUUUGAGAAGGUCAUCGAUUGUGACUUGACAAAUUAUAAGGAUUUGGUCGAGUCAAUUGUAGAGCAGUACCCGCCGCGUUAUUUGGAAGUUGCACAUGUAAUUGUCCAUGGAGGAUAGAUGCUUCUACGACCGAGGAUAAGUGUACUAUAAUGGUGAAGAAAAACCCAUGUGGCCAUGAUUGCUCUAGUACAAGAAGGAAAAAGAAGAUGAAAAAUGCAACCAAGUAUUGGAUAUGUGAUAAGGUGAAGGAUUGGCUGAUUGAAGAUGCUACUCUCGGAGCGAAGGCAUUGCACAAAAAGAUUAAAGAACACCACAAGGUUGACAUCCACUACAAGAGGGUAUAUAUGGGUAAGAAGCUAGCUCUGAAAGAACUAUAUGGUGAUUGGGAUAGCAGCUUUGACAAUUUGUAUAGGUUUAAAGCACAAGUAGAAAUCUCUUGCCCUGGUAGCAUAGUGCAGAUCGAUCAUUUCACUAUAAAAGAAAAAAAAUAGGUUUAGAAGGUUCUUCUUUGCUUUGAAACCUUGCAUAGAUGGAUUCCUUAGUGGUUGCAGACCGCAUUUGGCAGUAGAUAGCACAUUUUUAACAUGCAGGUUUAAGGGGCAGCUAGCCAGUGCUACCGCUGUAGAUGGCCAUAAUUGGAUGUAUCCACUUUGUUUUGGAAUUUUUGAUUCCGAAACAAAUGAGAACUGGAUCUGGUUCAUGCAAUUGCUUAGGCAAUCCAUAGGAUCGCCAAGGGGUUUAGCCAUAAGCACUGAUGCUGGGCAGGCGGUGAUGACAGGGGUAAAGGAAGUUUUCCCAGAGGUAGAACAUAGGGAAUGCAUGUUCCACUUGGUGUCAAACUUCAAGAAAAAGUAUCACGGAAAGGUAUUUGAUGACCAUCUUUGGGUUGUUGCUUACUCAUGGAACAAGUAUAUAUUUGACAAAAAUUGGGUUGCAAUGGAGACAGCAAAGCCAGCGGCAACUACAUAUCUUAGGAAGUGGCACACUAGGUUGUGGACUAGGAGUCAGUUCUCAACCAUUUGUAAGGUGGACUGUGUAACCAAUAACCUGGCAGAGUGCUUCAAUAAAUGGAUUAAGCACCACAAGUCCUUGAACUUGGAUGACUUAAUGGACAAGCUUAGGCAGAUGAUUAUGAUCAUGUGGAAUCGAAGGAGAAAAGUAGCAAAGAAGUUAGCUGGCUUAUUAAUUUUGCCCCUCAUAAUGAAGAAGUUGAAUGCAAAGAGUAGAGAGUUAAACUUGGAGGUGGUAGAAAGCUCAGAAGAAGUUGCUGAAGUUACUCAAUUGGGAGGCAGUGGGUCUUUGUCGUCAACUUGCAUGACAACACAUGUUCUUGUAGACAAUGGCAAGUUUCCGGCCUUCCUUGCAAGCAUGCUCUAGCAUUCAUCACAUCACUUGUCAAUGCACAUAUACAGAAUUAUGUGGACUCGUAUUACUCCAUUGACAAGUUUAGGUCAGCUUAUGGCCAACUAAUCCCUGCUAUGUUUGACAAGACCCAGUGGCCUGAAUCUAACCAUGGAUUCUUCAUGCAUCCACCCUAGUUAAAAGUUGUAGUUGGUCGGCCCCAAACUGAGAGGCAUAAGGGUUGUGGUGAGAAAAAGGGGGAAAGUGGCCAGCACUUGUGCCCUAUUUGCAAGGAAUACGGGCACCAUUGGCAUAAGUGUAAGAAGGGUAACAAAGAUGACAUUGCUGCUUUCAUGGCUGUGAGAGAACCACCAAAGAAGAGGAGGAAGACUACUAAAACAUCCGAGUCAUCCAUUGUGCCAAGAGGUGAUGACGCGCCGGCAACCGCUAUGUAUUUUCCAGCAAGGUUACCGAUUCUACACCAAUGCUUGUUCCAAAUGAUAACUAACUUUUAUUUGUGCCAAACAAAAACUGAGUUCGAUUUGUAUGUAUUCAUGUAAUCCAUAGCCAAAACUUGGAAACUACAACCAAGAAGAAGGGAAAGCAUAACCAAACAUUGGAGACUACAAACAAG